AGCUUCUGAAUGCUGAUACUAAAUGCUAGAAUUGGAAUGAUACAGAGAAGAUUAACGUGGUCCUUGCACAAGAAUUAGAGUUAUGGUUAUGGUUUAUGGUUUU
ensembl:snRNA U6 U6 spliceosomal RNA